AAAGGUAAUAUGACGAUGGCUCUGAUGGCCAUUCCAGAAGAAGAAUUUCAAAACUGCUUUGAUGGGUGGUCUAGGCGCUGGCGUCAGUGCGUAGCUUCCCAAGGGGAGUACUUUGAAGGUGACCAUAGUGAUAUUCAGCAGUGAGAUUUAUCAGCAGGUUGCAGGUGAACAUGGCCUUGAGGUUAAAUCCUGCCCCUUGUUGAAAUUUAGUUUCAGCAGAUUGUUGAUGGUAUUUUAAGGGAUUGGAAUAUUUUGCAAAACAACAGAAGUUUUGUUUGGUUCUGUUCUAGACUUAUGUUUUCUUCCAAAUAAAUGAGAAAAAUAUUUCAACAAAGGUUCUUUAUGAUGAAUAAUUCUGAUGCUUGAAGUUGGUCAUUUGCCUUGUUUAAGUGGAUUUUAAAUGUCAUAGACAAUUCUAGUCAGAUUUUUCUUGGUCAAAUAAAAAUUUUAUUACAACCUUA